CUGAGCAGCAAACUGAGCUGAUCCUUCUGGAGAAAGGAUGGUCGGACAGCCAAGACCUAUUGGUUCAGAAAAGAUGCAACAUUGAGCUCAGGAGGACUACAGAUGCAGCAAGAUGUGAAUUUCUGAAGUUGGGUAACAGGAAAGGCCGACCAUUAGAGAUACCUGAGAGGACCUGCAGCUUCAACCUCGGCCCUUUCCUCUGUAACUGCUGUGAGGCCUACUUUCUGUCACAGGGCACUCGCAACAGUGCCUGAGGGGUUGGGAUAUAUUAGACAUAGAAGAUACUUAUCUUUAAAAAUAAAUAGCAAUCAACAACUCGGGCUCAUGUCAUCAGAAACAUCAACAGAGAUGGUAAGAAGACCAAAACACAUUCUACUCCAACAAAAUCCUUGCAGAAUGCAACUUUCAUAAUCCCUUGACCUUACUUUUGGUAAGAAUUUAUACAAGACUAUAAGUCUUCAAGACCAUUACUCGAUAAUUCAAGAGACUUCAUACAAUGUAAUGAGAUUGGUAAAAAAAUAAAAUAGUUUCAUUUUAUUCUAAGUAGUGUCCCAACUGUACAUGAAGUUUUUCUUUUAUGGAUCUUGAUUUAUAUAAUUAUAAUCAUAAGACAAAUGCUUUAAACUGUGCAGUUCACUGAUGCACAAUGACACUACUUCUGAAAUAGAAGAAAUAUGCUUAAAAGAAUGAAAAGAGAUGAAAAGAGAGAAGCAGUUUCAGUAAAAAAAACCAAUACAAAUUCAUAACUAUUGACUCCUACAUCUUUUGUUGUAUGAUUCUGCUUAAAAUUCAUUUCAAUGUAUAACAAAAACUACUGUAAUGAUGUAAAGUAAUUAGCCUCCAACUAAUAAAAAUAAAUGGAAAAAAAAAAAAGACACAUUAACAACAAUUUUCUGUAUUAGAAUAUAAAAAGAUCCCUCAUAUUAGCCUUCAACAGUGGAUUUUAAAAUUUACUGAAUUGUUCCUUUUCUCUUCUUCCCAAUAACUGCUACUUUCAAUUUGUUCUUUUUAUUCAUCCUCUUGUUCCAAUGUAAGAUAAAUAGAUUUUCAAAGACAUUUUCCUAAACUUUUGAAUUAUCAUUACUAACUGAAGUGUACAUUCUCCACAAAUAUUUCUGGAAUGAUAAUUUUAGUAUCAAAAACUUAAAUAGAAAAAAAUAAAGCUUAAAUAGUAUUUAAAUCUUUUGACUCUGUGAUAAACUUGUGGCUCAGUUACAGUAAGAA